rnacentral:rRNA from 1 species
UACGUACCGUACGAACGUUAUUCGGAAUCACUGGGCUUAAAGAGUUCGUAGGCGGCUUGCCAAGUUGGGUGUGAAAUCCCUCGGCCUAACCGAGGAACUGCAUUCAAAACUGGCGGGCUUGGGGAAGACAGAGGUGAGCGGAACUCACGGUGGAGCGGUGAAAUGCGUUGAUAUCGUGAGGAACACCGGUGGCGAAAGCGGCUCACUGGGUCUUUUCUGACGCUGAGGAACGAAAGCUAGGGGAGCAAACGGG